UACGUAGGGUGCGAGCGUUAAUCGGAAUUACUGGGCGUAAAGGGUGCGUAGGCGGCCGGGUAAGUCUGCUGUGAAAUCCCGCAGCUCAACUGCGGAACUGCAUUGGAUACUAUCCGGCUAGAGGAAUGGAGGGGAGACUGGAAUUCUCGGUGUAGCAGUGAAAUGCGUAGAUAUCGAGAGGAACACCAGUGGCGAAGGCGAGUCUCUGGACAUUUCCUGACGCUGAGGCACGAAAGCCAGGGGAGCAAACGGG
rnacentral:rRNA from 1 species